AGUUAGUCAUCGUGGACGUAAACAAACCUCUGGUGCACUUUGCUAAAACCGUCCACACUUUCAAAUGCGCACGACUUAUUUUGAAAGGCACAUAAAUAGGUGUAACUUUGCAAACAUGUCUUAAGAGCAGAGAUCCAGAAGGACCCUCCAGUAUUGUCCACCGAGAGAAAGAGAAACAGGCUGACAAAAGAAGCUAUUGUUCCCGGCGAACAAUUCAAGAGGCCUAUAAGCUGUCCUCUGCGAUCAGGCGCGCGGGCGCUGAUUUGAAUGCAAGGGGGGCCCAUCCGAGAAGAAACGCUGAUAUAUAGCCAGAUAGGCUUAGAACAGUAGCCAACAUAAAUGUAGGCGAGUUAGUCUUUAACCAACGUUUGAAAAGACGCGCUCAGUGGGCAGACAAAGUUUAGAGGCGGAGAGUUUUGGGAGAUGCAACAAGUCACACCUGCUCCCUUCUCAGAUGCUCACCAGUGAGACUGUGGUCCACGUGGUCACAGACGAACCGCAGAGAGACGGCAGCUGCCCAUCCUUUUCGUCCCACAACACCCUGCAAGGAUACAAAUGCACAUCCAAUGUUCCUCCAGUCAAGAUGUGCUGAAACAUUUUUGGAAUAACAUAUGAAAUCAGUGCUACAGGACAAUUUAAUAAAUCAAAAAAGUAAAAACAUGAAGAAGAAAGAACUGAGAAUAUAUUUGGGUUCACAUUUUGUGUUUUUGUUAUUUUUUUCUCUUUUGACUGCUGUACACUUUCACAUUUUUGUUAAUGCCUGUCAUCUUUAACUGGAAAGUUUAGGAGUCCUCUAAUAAAGGUAAUACGUCUAAACAAGCUGCUUGGAUAUCUAAAUUGCAUCCAUUUAAAUGGGCCAAAAAA